CUCGUGUCGUGAGAUGUUCGGUUAAGUCCGGCAACGAGCGCAACCCACGUCCCUAGUUGCCAGCAUUCAGUUGGGCACUCUAUGGAAACUGCCGAUGAUAAGUCGGAGGAAGGUGUGGAUGACGUCAAGUCCUCAUGGCCCUUACGGGUUGGGCUACACACGUGCUACAAUGGUGGUGACAGUGGGUUAAUCCCCAAAAGCCAUCUCAGUUCGGAUUGUCCUCUGCAACUCGAGGGCAUGAAGUUGGAAUCGCUAGUAAUCGCGGAACAGCAUGCCGCGGUGAAUACGUUCCCGGGCCUU
rnacentral:rRNA from 1 species